ensembl:lncRNA
CUCAACUAGAAACAUACAUCCAAGACUGAUACUCACUAAAUACCCACUUUAGGCUUAUUUUUAGAAUUCCAAGAAUCUGCUUUUUUCCCCCAAGUUUUAUUUUAGAAAAAGCAAUCUAGUUACUCUUCAGAUGCUCAUAAAGAAAAUGGAAUUGCUGUAUUUUAUAUGUGAGUCAGAGCUCAAGAUAAUGGUGAAUCUUGCCGAAGGCCUCAGGGAUACUAAGCAUGAAGUUUGGGAGGAGUUAGGUUUUCAUUGGUGUCCUUCUUUCCCAGGCUGGAGUUCAAAUGAGUCUGAGUCUCUCGAAAUGUUUGCACGAGAGGAUGAACUUCAGUGUUUGCACCAUUUCCCCUGUUUUACACUCUCCUCGCAUAGACCACAGCUGAGAGUUUUAGAGAAAAGGCGCUUUCGGCAAGUGCAAAGUGGUAUUGUCAUGUUGCUACUGGAGCUGUCUGUGAGAGCCAAGAAAAUAGGACAGAAUAAAAAGGAAGUAAAAUAAGUCAUAGUGAAACCCUCUCAGAGGAAGGAGAGCAAACAUUGAAAUAUUGCUUUUUCCUGGCUGCUUAUUAAAGGGGAAAUUUGCCUACUGUGCUGGAAGAGUCUUUUAUUCAUCAUUCAGUUGAUGUGAAGCUUCUAACUUAGGGUUUGUUUUUGUAUGCACAACCCAUUCUGUUUCUUAAGGUGAACUCUACUGACAUUAUGUCCGAGGACCAGAGCGGCAUGAAUGUGACAUUUUGAAGCUAGACUCGGAUACCAUCUUUGGGAUUUCAGUCUGAAAAUACAAUUCUGAAAAAUCAACAGAACAAGGUUUUGUGGGACAAAAUGCCAAUAAGGUCAUUGCAUUUCUUUCCUACUGUUCCAGUGCCAUGCUCACAAUUACCUUAACUCUUGUCAAAAUAUUUUCUACGGUAAUAGCCAAAACAUAAUUAACACCUUUUCUUCAUGCUGAAAAUAUCAUUGGUAGCCAUAAAACAAAUUUGGAGAAAGCUUUUCAGCACUUUAACUCAGCAAAUGGCUACUGUGGUUAUACUGUGGUUAUUGGUUAUUGGUAUUUGCCUGCUCAUAGGAGUAACACCCCAUAAUACCCUGCUUUCUCUCCUCCCAAUAGCUCUAACUAUAUGGGAUAUGGAGAAACAGAAAGGUCAAGGGAGUAGGUAGGGGUUGGGUGGGGUGUGGAAACAAGUCGUGAAAUUCUGUGGGAAAUUAGACAUGAAAUAACCUUUCUGUGCUUUAGUUAUUGUUAUUUGCCUCUGUUAUUCUCCAACUUUUUCAUGUAUUUUUCCUGUAAUCAGGGUGAUAUUCUGAGAUAGUCUGUUUUCCAAAAGCCUGUCUUAAUGUCAGACAGGCAAAAAGUAUGGGUUAAUUUUGUCAUGAAUGGAAAGGCCCUUUAUGGCGUUUCCUGUAUUUUUGGUUCAGGCUACAAAAGCCGAAGUAGUUAUAAUCAGAGAUUUCCAGCAGGGGGUGUACCCACUUCUAUAGGGUAAGUUCUUUUGAAACCAAAUCACAUCAAACAUCUGAAUAUUAUAUGUAGUGUUACUGCUGAUGGUAAAAGCUGGAAUGUUGAUAACAUUUUUUAUGGCUGUCAUCUCUUUUGAUCCUAAGCAUGUGAAUACUUUGUUAGGAUGUGUUAAAGAACUAGAAAUUUGUGGAUGAUAUUUAAAUUAAAAACCUAAAAUGCCCGACUGAAAUCUUAUUCUGCUAAUUUUUUCAAAGUAAAUGAAGAACAAAGCUUUGGGUGAUUUUAAUUAUCCAGUGGAGAACAAGUGCUUAAAUUUUUUCCUUUUUAGAUAAGAAGAGUAGUUGAUCCAAGAGAGAUUGGUAAUAUUUACUCUUAUCUCUCCAGAGUGUUUCUGUGUGUAUGUAAAAUGAUAAGUUACUUAUUUUCUCAAAGUUUUUUUGUUUUGGGUGGGGAGGGUUGGUGUUUAAAGCUGUUUCCCUGAAGGCAUGGUUCCUAAUCAAUUUUAAAAUAUACCAUAUUAUCCUUGAGUUUUAUUUUCUGCUCUUUAUAGCCUUUAUUUGUAUAUAUCUAAGCAUUUAUAACCGUAGAAGUUUGACCCCCUUUUUCCAUUUUCAGAUUUUUAUUUAUGCAGAAAACUGUACGCUUUCUCUUGCGAGAGGAGCAGAUACAAAAAUUAAAAUGAUAUAAACUUGUUAGUUAUUUGUACUGGUAAGCAGCUCACCAGUGUAUUAGUAUUAAUAAGGAGCAAAGUUGUAAAGUUGAC